rnacentral:rRNA from 1 species
GUUCUUCCUAUAGAGCCGUGGUAGACCACCACGUUGAUAGGCUGGAUGUGGAAGCGCAGUAAUGCGUGUAGCUGACCAGUACUAAUAGCUCGAUUGGCUUGAUUAAUGC